AUGAACCCAUAUGUUGGUCACCCUAAUCCAAUGCAGGAAGAGCAGGAGCUCUUUCGGAAGGACCAACGUGAAGCUGCUCUUGCUCUGGAGGCUGAAGUCUUAAAGAACCCUGGUAAUGCUGAAGGUUCGAGGUUGCUUGGAGUAACACAUGCUGAAAAUGAUGAUGACCAGCAGUUGGAGCAGAAACAAAUACAGAUACCCUGGGAAGGAGGUAUGGAGCGAAUACGUGGGAAGGGCACUAUCCGAUCCGUUUCCAUCCCUAUCGGCAUAGGGCAUCAAUGUCAACGGAGGAGGGCAGUGAGCCCGCGACAGACGAUAGUGGUGGAGGUGCUUUGGUUGCCAUCGCACUGCAGCAAGGAUGGAUGGGUGGCAGCGUGUGGGCUUGGGAUGAUUGGAUGGCCCCACGGCGGCGUGCUCGCCUGGAGAAGCAUUAAGAUAUCUUUCGAGGUGGCUCCAGAUUCCAGAAUCAUUCAAAGUACGGAGGUCUCGCCCCUCCCCACCAAACUGAUUCACCAUAUGGUCCAGAUUUUAUUAGUUUCGGAUACUAAACAACCUACCUCUCACCAUGUUGUUAUAUUGUUUAAUGAAGCUGCUCAGAUGUCGCCUGAGGAUGCUGAUGUCCACAUAGUUCUGGGUGUCUUGUACAACUUAUCAAGAGAAUUAGAUAAAGCUAUAGCUUCAUUUAAGACGGCACUACAGCUGAAACCACAAGACUAUUCUCUCUGGAACAAGCUCGGUGCGACCCAAGCAAACAGCAUCCAGACUGCUGAUGUCGUACUGGCAUACCAGCAGGCUCUAGAUUUGAAGCCCAACUACGUCCGUGCAUGGGCUAAUAUGAGAAAUAGCUAUGCGAAACCAGUAUUGUAA
rnacentral:rRNA from 1 species